AUGAACGCUAGCGACAGGCUUAACACAUGCAAGUCGAGGGGCAGCACAGGUAGCAAUACCGGGUGGCGACCGGCGCACGGGUGAGUAACGCGUAUGCAACUUACCUAUCAGAGGGGGAUAACCCGGCGAAAGUCGGACUAAUACCGCAUGAAGCAGGGGCCCCGCAUGGGGAUAUUUGCUAAAGAUUCAUCGCUGAUAGAUAGGCAUGCGUUCCAUUAGGCAGUUGGCGGGGUAACGGCCCACCAAACCGACGAUGGAUAGGGGUUCUGAGAGGAAGGUCCCCCACAUUGGUACUGAGACACGGACCAAACUCCUACGGGAGGCAGCAGUGAGGAAUAUUGGUCAAUGGGCGUAAGCCUGAACCAGCCAAGUCGCGUGAGGGAUGAAGGUUCUAUGGAUCGUAAACCUCUUUUAUAAGGGAAUAAAGUGCGGGACGUGUCCCGUUUUGUAUGUACCUUAUGAAUAAGGAUCGGCUAACUCCGUGCCAGCAGCCGCGGUAAUACGGAGGAUCCGAGCGUUAUCCGGAUUUAUUGGGUUUAAAGGGUGCGUAGGCGGCCUUUUAAGUCAGCGGUGAAAGUCUGUGGCUCAACCAUAGAAUUGCCGUUGAAACUGGGGGGCUUGAGUAUGUUUGAGGCAGGCGGAAUGCGUGGUGUAGCGGUGAAAUGCUUAGAUAUCACGCAGAACCCCGAUUGCGAAGGCAGCCUGCCAAGCCAUGACUGACGCUGAUGCACGAAAGCGUGGGGAUCAAACAGGAUUAGAUACCCUGGUAGUCCACGCAGUAAACGAUGAUCACUAGCUGUUUGCGAUACAGUGUAAGCGGCACAGCGAAAGCGUUAAGUGAUCCACCUGGGGAGUACGCCGGCAACGGUGAAACUCAAAGGAAUUGACGGGGGCCCGCACAAGCGGAGGAACAUGUGGUUUAAUUCGAUGAUACGCGAGGAACCUUACCCGGGUUUGAACGCAUUCGGACCGAGGUGGAAACACCUUUUCUAGCAAUAGCCGUUUGCGAGGUGCUGCAUGGUUGUCGUCAGCUCGUGCCGUGAGGUGUCGGCUUAAGUGCCAUAACGAGCGCAACCCUUGCCACUAGUUACUAACAGGUGAUGCUGAGGACUCUGGUGGGACUGCCAGCGUAAGCUGCGAGGAAGGCGGGGAUGACGUCAAAUCAGCACGGCCCUUACAUCCGGGGCGACACACGUGUUACAAUGGCGUGGACAAAGGGAUGCCACCUGGCGACAGGGAGCGAAUCCCCAAACCACGUCUCAGUUCGGAUCGGAGUCUGCAACCCGACUCCGUGAAGCUGGAUUCGCUAGUAAUCGCGCAUCAGCCAUGGCGCGGUGAAUACGUUCCCGGGCCUUGUACACACCGCCCGUCAAGCCAUGGGAGCCGGGGGUACCUGAAGUCCGUAACCGAAAGGAUCGGCCUAGGGUAAAACUGGUGACUGGGGCU
rnacentral:rRNA from 1 species